UCGUGCGACGUCGUCAUGGCAACGGGCCGCGCGCGCGCUCAUUACCCGCCCCGUACACCUGCGCGAGUACAAACUUCAUUUCUUACUUUCUCCCUCAAACAAUUCCACAUAAGUCCUCAAGUCCUGACAGUUUCAAGGACAUUUUCAAACAUGUCACGUCUUCAGUUUGUAGGGUUCGAAACUCGGUCGACUGAGACAUGAGGCCAAAGAGGAGCAAUGGCGGCGUAAUCACUUACCACAUACCGUUUAAUAUCAGACUUGUAACAUCCGAGGUGCAUGUCUUUGGAGGUGGGAGGAAGCCGGACAACCCGGAGGGAACCCACCCACGCAGUCACGGGGAGGACCUGCAAACUCCACACAGAAAGAUCCAGAGCCCAUACGAAACGGGAAAAAAUAUAAAAUUGCAUAUCUUGUACAUUUAAAGGUGCCAUAUGUAGUAGUAAUGUGGCCAGAAACUACUGCAAUCACUGUCAAAUUUUUGUAUUCCCCUCCCACUCUCCAUGACUGAGGUUGCCAGAUACGCAGCUGAAUCCGAAUCCUACUCCUCGGAACUUCAAAUGGCAGUCGAGUCCUACGCUGCACCAGAGUUAAAGUGUGCAAGGUCAGAGGUGAGAUUGAGCGCACCAGUGAAGAAGAAGAAGAAGAGUUGUGGGUGUGCAAAACAAGGCAAAAGAGAAGACAAGUCAGCAGUACAGAGUUCCAGGCCACGGCGAGGCCUGCUGCCCUCUCACACCCCCACCAGGCGAAUACAGGUAAAAAUGGAGGCUGACAGCAGAGAGAUUGCUGAUUUAGUUCAACCUUUACUGGACACAGACAAGGAGUUGGAGAGAUUCCUGUCCAAGUAUGAAGAAGCUAAGGUGCUGAGGAGGGAACGCAUGCGUAAGUGUUGGAACGAGGAUAUAUGGGCGUCCUCCCGGAAGAAAAUGGACCAGCACAUGUCCACAUGCAACCCGCUGGAGACAAACAUGCGCCAGAACUUGUACGACCAAUACCUCCAACACGGAAACACCAAGGGCUUUGUGUUUCUUGACACGUGUGACCUGAAGCAGUACAAUCCUUAUCUUCUCCACGGCGACAAGCCACACAAGUGCAAGCACAAUGUAGCCAAGCUAAAGGAGACCAAAUUAAUGGAUAGCUCCAAGCUGAAGAACACAGCUCGCUGUGAAGCAGUUUGUGUGAUGUAGGAUGCCAGCACAAGUGGGUUCCUCAAAGCGAACACAUCCCACCUGAGGCCACCAUGCAAUCAUUUGACACCACUGAAAGCCACGCUGUUGACAAGAUUUGCAGAACCAAAAUACCUUUCCACAUCCAUGACACCGCCAUACCGGAUGGAAGAUGCCAUCACAGCACCUGCUGGUUCACUACGCAACAAUAAAGUUAAUUUUUCAUCAA